rnacentral:rRNA from 1 species
AGCGAACGCUGGCGGCAUGCCUAACACAUGCAAGUCGAACGCCCCGCAAGGGGAGUGGCGCACGGGUGAGUAACGCGUGGGAACCUGCCCCGGAGUGGGGGAUAACCCGGCGAAAGCCGGGCUAAUACCGCAUACGGCCUAUGGGCGAAAGAUUUAUCGCUCUGGGAGGGGCCCGCGUCCGAUUAGCUAGUUGGUGAGGUAACGGCUCACCAAGGCGACGAUCGGUAGCUGGUCUAAGAGGAUGAUCAGCCACACUGGGACUGAGACACGGCCCAGACUCCUACGGGAGGCAGCAGUGGGGAAUAUUGGACAAUGGGGGCAACCCUGAUCCAGCAAUGCCGCGUGAGUGAUGAAGGCCUUAGGGUUGUAAAGCUCUUUCGGCGGGGACGAUGAUGACGGUACCCGCAGAAGAAGCCCCGGCUAACUUCGUGCCAGCCGCCGCAGUAAAAC